rnacentral:rRNA from 1 species
GAUGAACGCUGGCGGCGUGCUUAACACAUGCAAGUCGAACGGAAAGGCUCCUGCUUGUAGGGGUACUCGAGUGGCGAACGGGUGAGUAACACGUGGGUGAUCUGCCCUGCACUUCGGGAUAAGCCUGGGAAACUGGGUCUAAUACCGGAUAGGACCACAUUUUGGAUGGUGUGGUGGAAAGUUUUUCGGUGUGGGAUGAGCUCGCGGCCUAUCAGCUUGUUGGUGGGGUAAUGGCCUACCAAGGCGUCGACGGGUAGCCGGCCUGAGAGGGUGUACGGCCACAGUGGGACUGAGAUACGGCCCAGACUCCUACGGGGGGCAGCAGUGGGGAAUAUUGCACAAUGGGCGCAAGCCUGAUGCAGCGACGCCGCGUGGGGGAUGACGGCCUUCGGGUUGUAAACUCCUUUCGCUAGGGACGAAGCGCAAGUGACGGUACCUGGAGAAGAAGCACCGGCUAACUACGUG